rnacentral:rRNA from 1 species
AGUACGUUCGCAAGAAUGAAACUCAAAGGAAUUGACGGGGGCCCGCACAAGCGGUGGAGCAUGUGGUUUAAUUCGAUGAUACGCGAGGAACCUUACCAAGGCUUAAAUGUAGUUUGACCGAUUUGGAAACAGAUCUUUCGCAAGACAAAUUACAAGGUGCUGCAUGGUUGUCGUCAGCUCGUGCCGUGAGGUGUCAGGUUAAGUCCUAUAACGAGCGCAACCCCUGUUGUUAGUUGCCAGCGAGUCAAGUCGGGAACUCUAACAAGACUGCCAGUGUAAACUGUGAGGAAGGUGGGGAUGACGUCAAAUCAUCACGGCCCUUACGCCUUGGGCUACACACGUGCUACAAUGGCCGGUACAGAGAGCAGCCACUGGGUGACCAGGAGCGAAUCUACAAAACCGGUCACAGUUCGGAUCGGAGUCUGCAACUCGACUGCGUGAAGUCGGAAUCGCUAGUAAUCGUGGAUCAGCACGUCACGGUGAAUACGUUCCCGGGUCUUGUACACACCGCCCGUCACACCAUGGGAGCGGGUCUCGCCAGAAGUAGUUAGCCUAACCGCAAGGAGGGCGAUUACCACGGCGGGGUUCGUGACUGGGGUG